rnacentral:tRNA from 1 species
GAAAAUCCGUCGACUUUAAAAAUCG